AAUUCCUGCUCUAAGCUCAUCUGCCACAUUGUGUAAGCAAAUGGAAUAUGGAUCACCUGCUCUUGAUGAAGUGCUCUGAUACUUCCUGAGGAACUCUAUGUAGCAGAUAAGAUGAUACUUGCCUUCUGUGGCAAUCAAGUCAUUGACUCCUGCAAGCCCCAGUCGCAAUUCUGUGUCUUGUUGAGCUAGAUCAAGAAUCUUUUUAGAUGUGGUCAUGACUUGGAUGUUUCGAAGUUUGUCAUCAGGCUUGUCUUUCUGACCGAAAAUAUUUUUUUCCCAAGGCACUGAAGGCAUCGAACUUCUAGUGAUGAUCGGCUGGCAAUUGCUUGCAGUAUUUAGUGAUUUUUUUCACUUUCAGAGCGUUUCUUCAGGCGGGAAAUAAAAGUAACAUUUGCAAAAGCUGAAUAGCAUGUUUUGUGCCAUUUUAUCUUGUCAGUUUCUGUGUCCAGAAACAUUCAAUUCUCUCCAGAGUAUCAGCAUACUCUACGUCUUGGUAUUUCACCCGUUCAUUUGCUCUCAAUCUAAUACACUUUAGCCCAUUCUCAGAAGGAUUUCUUAGGGCUUUAUCUUGGCUGUAUUUUCCAUAUUUGUCUUGACAAAUGAAACAUUUUUCCCAAUCAAUAUCUCUUCCUAUUUGUUUUUAUUUGGAUGCUAGGCUUACAGCUCCCUCUGGAUCCAUGUUAUCUCAUCUGAAAGGCAACUAAAUGUUUCACUACACUAGUCUGAUUGGUUUCUGAGUAGAUCACUAAAAGGUCAUCUGACAUAAGCUGAGGGCUUUUCUAUCUAACAAACUGGUUAACACUUUUAGCUAGCAAACUGUAAAAUUAAUGCUGUGCAGCAAAUAAAUUAUAAACAUAAUAUUUCCAUCACACAUCUGCACAAAACUUAAUUUACCUAUUAGUAAGUAAGCUAGUAAUUAUGAAAGUACAUUAGCCUAGCUAUCUGUCUGGGAAGUAUAGCUAGUUGGAAAACGUUUAGCUUACCUUUUUCUGGCAAAAUUUGAUGGUAGAGUCUUGAGGUAAAUGUUUUUGUAGACAAAUAGACCAAGUUAAUCUGUUAUGUGAUUGUGUGAUUCACUCCUUUUAAGCUUUUUUUAAGUCAGCUGACACAUGCCAAAUCACAGCUGUGCUGACACAACAGUACCCCUUGUGGUGUGAUACUCUUGUGGUAUUUAUUGAUUAUUAUUUUUUAAAGAUCAUGCUUGCACAUAAAUUGGAUUAUAUUGCAUAUUUGCACCAAAUUAAAGGAGGUAAUAUGGAAGAAAGAGGAAGCACUUUGGGGAAAAAAUCUGCUUUUGACACUUUUAAGAGUAUAGUGUUAAAAUGGGCAUAAAACCUUUUUCUAAACUGACAACGUGGCUAGAACACAUGUUUAGGGGUUAAGUAUUAAUACUGGAUAGGUUGUAUGCUUGUAAUAAAAAGUGUCAGACAAAGUUAUAAUAUCAGUUUUGGCACCCUGACUACAACGGGAAGUUAGUCAUCACAUACAGAACAUAGACAACAGCAGAGAUGCUGGCUUGAGUUGAGCUUGUGUUGAUGUAAGAGCCCAAAAUGACCAAGACUAAAAAUACAUUUUCCUUCUGAGGAGAAGCAAUGCAGUGCGGCCAGGUGCGGUAUGAUUAGGUGCGGUUAGGAGCGGCUCGCAUUUCCACUGCCGACAGUACCAUUAUGGUAGGGUGAGGUUAAGCCGGAUGGCGAUAGCCGUGGCAGCUACGUAGGCAUUGUGACAUCAUAGCAGCCCGACACAGCUUAGCCUGCUAAAUGAAUUCAAUUAAAGAAGGAUACGACACAUUAAAAAAAAGAGAAACAAUGUAGGACGUCCAAGAAGGAGGGCAAACUUUUGCGCAACAUUGUCCUCAAGCUUUCGCUGUUGUCCAGAAAUACCUUGCGGGGUACUGUGUUUGUUUGUUUUUAUGACCCUGUUGCACAAGAAGUGACGAUUCUGUCGACCAAUCAACGGACAAGGUGUGUAGCUCCAACUUUUCGGCGCCCUUUCAGACCGAUUGGUUCCCCAACGGAGGAGUACUGAAAAAUAGCAAUGGAUAAUCGUGGCUCAUCUAGUUAUUUUUGGACUCCGCCUACUUUUGGUGGUGGAAACGCGAACCGUACUGCACCUAAUCGCACCUUACCGUACCGCACCACUCAGGGGAAAUGCGCAUUGACACAAAGACAUUAGUAGCCCCAAUGUAACACAGAGGCCCUGAUGCAACAUGGUAACACAGAGGCCCUAAUGUUAAAUGGUAAUACAGAGACAUUAGAAGCCGUAAUGUAACAACGAGGCCCUAGUGUAACAUGGUAACAAAAGGACAUUAGCAGCAAUAAUGUGACACCGAGGCCCAAAUGUACCAUGGUAACACAGAGUCAUUAGUAGCCCUAAUGUAACAAAUGCCGCGUUUCCACUGCAGGGUGCGGUACGGUUCGGUUCGCCUCAGUCCGGUAGGGAGGGGGCGGUAUAGCCCAGCUCAGUUCCAAGGUCGUGUUUCCACCGCCGACAGUACCCUUUAUGGUAGGCCGGAUGUCGAUCGCCGCAGCAGCUACGUAAACAUUGUGACAUCAUAGCAGCGCUACACAGUGUAGCCUGCUCAAUAAAAACAAUGGAAAAGUUGUACGUUAUUGUCAAGUUUUUCAUGGCAUGUUUUACGCGACAUGUUCAUUGCAAAGAAUAAUACGAUAAUACUCAAGGCUACUGUUUGUUUGUUUUUAUCCCCACGUCGCCCAAAAGUGACGAUUCUGUCGACCAAUCAACGGAGGGGAUGUUUAGCUCGAAUUCUCCGGCACCCUUUCAGGCGUCUCAGUACCCCAACGGAGGAGUACUGAAGACGAGGGCAAAACGAGUACGGCUCCGUCCGGGUCACGCCCACUUUUGGCGGUGGAAACGCAAUCCGUACCGCACCUUUGAGAACCGAACCGUACCGCACCCUGCAGUGGAAACGCGCCAUAACCGUGCUCAAAUCUGCCAGUGUGAGUGUGGCCAGUCUGGCCAGGCCAGGCCAACUUGGCCACUUGGGAGAGGUGUGCUUCUACGGUAGGCCUACUGGCCGCCACGGUACAGAUGCUAAUGAGCCGACACGUGCACGGCUAUGCAACCUGAGCUGGAUGACGUAUAUUCCAUGCGACGACGAUGGACAUAAUAAAGGCGACGAGCCUUCUUUCCCAUUAAACGGUAAACAUGGCGUCAAGCGGUUCAACUGUUGGUUCACGUUGGUCCCAUAGAGAAGUGUCUGUCAAAGAGCGAACUGUGUUCUCUGUGUUGUUGUCCAUUGUUGUUAAAACUCUGACUGGCUUGGUGUCCACUGCAUGGACACCAAGCGACCACUGCAUGGACGCUUGGUGAUGAAGUGUUACGACGUAGUGACGUAUGUACAGGAGCCUACUGUGGCCAGGCCACAGUUGCGACGGCCACGGCCAGAUGGCCUAGUGUGAGUGCAUCCUUAUAAAUGACAUGCAUCAAGAAACUGCAUUAUCACCUUUUUCAUUUUAUAUUGAAGCAUGAUCAUUACAUAUAAGAUUGUUGUCAAUGUUAGUUGUAUAUCUGAGCAAAUAAUUAAAUGUCAUUCAUAUGUGGCCUGGUGUUAGAUUAAUUGAAAUGAGACUGAGAUUGAAUGGGUUAAGUGAUGCUAUGUGUAACGUAUUGUCAGUGUUGUGUUAGUGCAGUGGACAUGUGCAUACAGUGUUAAUAUAUUCUACAUAGAGAAGACAGACAGGUUAAGAAAAUGAUUUAUGCCCUAGCGUUCAGAUUGAUUUAACAAGAGAGAUAACAACUAGCCUCAUUACAUCCUAUUCUUAGAUCACAAAAUAUCUGCCACUUUGUUAAAUAAAUAUGUUUCCC
ensembl:lncRNA